GACAGAGGGUGCAAACGUUGCUCGGAAUUACUGGGCGUAAAGCGCGUGUAGGCGGGCCGAUAAGUCAGGCAUGAAAUCCCCGAGCUCAACUCGGGAACUGCACCUGAAACUGUCGGCCUAGAGUGAUGGAGAGGGUAGCGGAAUUCCUGGUGUAGAAGUGAAAUUCGUAGAUAUCAGGAGGAACACCGGUGGCGAAGGCGACUACCUGGACAUUAACUGACGCUGAGACGCGAAAGCGUGGGGAGCAAACAGG
rnacentral:rRNA from 1 species